CUCCCCCAGCCUCGCUGCCACGUUGCAGUUUGAUCUCAGACUGCUGUGCUAGCAAUCAGUGAGGCUCCGUGGGUGUAGGACCCUGUGAGCCAUGCGCGGGAUAUAAUCUCCUGGUGUGCUGUUUGCUAAGACUGUCGGAAAAGUGCAGUAUUAGGGUGGGAGUGACCCGAUUUUCCAGGUGCUGUUUGUCCCCACUUCCCUUGGCUAGGAAAGGGAAUUCUCUGACUCCUUGUGGUUCCCGGGUGAGGCGAUGCCUCGCCCUGCUUCGGCUCAUGCUCGGUGCUCUGCACCCACUGUCCUGCACCCACUGUCUGACAAUCCCCAGUGAGAUGAACCCGGUACCUCAGUUGGAAAUGGAGAAAUCACCCAUCUUCUGUGUCGCUCAUGCUGGGAGCUGUAGACUGGAGCUGUUCCUAUUCGGCCAUCUUGGAACCACCCCAGAACAUGGCAAUGGCUACAAGGCUUGGAGUCUUUGGGAUUAAGCUUAAGUCAAGGCAGUUAUGUCUUCAGCAAAGCCUAGUUAAUUUUUUAGACCCUGAGGGCAGUUAGAGCGGAGUCCAAGGCCACAGGUAAACUUAACCUUUAACAUCUGCUUUGGUUUCUUGUGUUUUCUACAGUGUCGUACCACAUUAGCAUUAGCACUUCUGGACUAAAUCCUUUUUGCCAUCUCAGGAAAAAGAAAUGUGUUUGCAGUUUACCUUUGUAUUCCUAGAACUACUUUAAAGUCUAAAAAUGAAUAAACAAAUAAUUAAAUGUUAAACAUGUGUUUGCGGUAAAAUAGUCAAGUUUCUGUAUAAGAAUGAGAUAUAAAGUGGUGAACCAACUUUAUAUAACAACAUGACCAUUCUCCUCUGAUGUCAUUAUUACCCAUUCUAAAAAGGAGUUUAUGAAACCGUAAUUACUUUGCCCUAUUUGGGGAGAAUUAAGACAUGGAUAGGGUGUCACAUUUAACAUGGAUAUAAAAAGUCUGUGGCUCGGCGCCGUGGCUCAC
rnacentral:lncRNA from 1 species